GGUUUCUUUCCACAAAAUUUAGAGGCUAUGACCUUGACUCAGCAGCAGGUGGCACCAUACUGUACCUUUAUGUUUCCUACUGGCACCACAGUGGGCUACAUCACUCAAUCACAUCCACAAAUACGUGUGUGUGUGUGUGUGUGUGCGGGAGAGAGUGAGUGAGAGAAUGUUCAUGGGCUGUAGAUGGGUGGAUCUCAGCUAGAGACUUGGAAACAAACAGUUUUGUGAUUUUCCAUGGGUACAGCUAAACAGAAACACCGGCCACCCCCGUUGUGGUGAGUUGCCAAUGCCUACAGUCAACUAUAACGAUGUCAUUAGCCAGGUGCAAUAAAAUACCUCCUCCCAAACUGUUGGCUUCUCACAAACCAUCACCACUGAAGCUGAGAGGGUUUAUCUCAUAAUAACCGUUUGACCACAGAAAGAGAAUGUAUGUUCGUAGUGGUGUGCUGCAAAUGGUUGUGAUGGCCAUUUUCUUGCUGGCUCAACAUGGGACUGUGAUCGGAACCAACUGCACCAAUUCCACGUGCAGCAGCACCAAUUCCACGUGCAGCAGCACCAACUCCUCUCCCCCACCCUCCUCUCUGUGGGGGUUUGGCCUCAUGCUCCUGGCUCUGUCCCCCACUCUCCUGCAGCAGAUAGCUACUCUCUGAUGGCAGCAAGGCAGCUGUAUUCACCAUGUACUUCCUCAAUCUGGGAUGUCCAACUAUUCUUUAACUACAUAUAUUCUCACCCUAAGGAAGACCACGAUGACCUGUACUCAUUGGACACUUUAUAAAAACCUUUUGUUAUCUACUAAAAUAUAGCACACAUGUUAAAACAACUAUGUUUCUGAAUAAAUGCAURGUGAUAAACUGAA